CCAGGGCGGGAGGCUCCUGGGUUCUCUGUUCAGCAGGAUCAGAUCCUAACCAGGGCAUUAAAGGUAUUCGCUGCGGGCAGCUCUUUGCUUCUAAAUCCCCUUCUGAUUCAAAGCUAGGUGUUUGGAAUAGUUCCUAGGGAAAGGAUCUGUUUCGAAUCUGCAGACAGAUAGUCUGCAAACUUCUUAUUCCUCUAGAUUCGGACCCAAUUGAUUAUAAUCAUCUCUCUCUCUCUCCACCCUACGGCGAGGGGCGCUAUCUAUUCCAUAAGCUCUUUCACCAACUCCAAACCAAGAUAUGUCAGAGGACAAGAUCCAAAUUCCUGGGAAGAGGAAUCCUCUGAUUAUGUCAUCCCUCCAAAAGCAUUGUAGAUAAUAGAUGUUAAAUUACUCUGUCCUUGUUACUUCCUCAGGAACUGGGGGAAAAAAAACUAUUUGACCAAAUAGAGGGAGGAAGAAAUCUUAGAAGACUGGAUGCACUCCACGAAGUAUUCUCUCUUCUUCCAGCGACCACCAACUCCGUUCACAAAAGGGUUCAGCAAACUGAAAUGCCCGAGCUCAUCCCACAUUGAAAGACUUCUCAGAGCAGAGGGCUCCUUCUGGGAUGAAGUGAGGAGCAAAGAAAUAAAACCUGAAAUUCGGAGGGGAAAUCCAACAAAAGCCAAAGUCCACCUUGCAGGUGCUGGUCUCCUCCAAUAUUGGGAACGACAUUCCUUUCCUAAUAGUUUUGACAUGGAGGCAAGUCCUGAAAUAUUAUUGCCUUUUCCCCAUCGAGCCCUCUGCCAUCCCCAGGUCUUCCCCUGUACCUCCCCACUUGGUUACAAUCAGAGUGCUGCUCUCCAGCUCCUUGCUCCUUUCCUGGCUCAAGCCUUCUUCAACUGGAUCACUGGCAAGAGCUUCACCUACUGGACCUCCUAGGGUCAUUUCUUAAAAUGCAAUUCUAUGCACUGAACUCUUUGGAACAUGGACUUUCAAAAUAGUCACUUCCAGAACUUGAAUUUCAAGACUUCUAAAUUCAGAUGUAGAGGGAGGAGCUGCCUUAGUGCAGUUUCCUUGCAUCAUUGAAGAACAUGAAAAGCAAGCAAGAGAAAGAGCGUGCACACAUCAAAAGGAGCUUUCAGAAACAAAUUUAUUUCAAUGUAAGAAAUUCAUUUUUCCUGGAAAAGAAUAGAUUUACCUGUGCUUGGAACCCCUGGGGUAUGAGCAAGCCAAGAAUUUUAAAUCCUAAAAAAAAGAAAAGCCUGAGGUUGGGGAUGUAGUUCAGUGGAAGAGCACUUGCCUAGAUUGUGGAAAGCCCUAGGUUCAAUCCCUAGCCCCACUCCCCAUUUUUUUAAAAAAAGAUCAUGGCAAAACCUUCAUUAAGCAAGGAAGCCUUACCAGUAAGUUCCAUGGCACUGAGAAUCAGAUUGAAAAUUGCUCAUCGAAGAGGCCACUGUCAGUUUCUCACAUUUAAGGAUCAGGAAGGAAAAGUGACCCAAAGCCCUCAGUAUGUGUCUUCUGCUUGCUGGUCACAGAUGCUAACCCUCCUCCAGGUCUCCACGGGGUGACUGGCUCAGGGGGACCUGGCCUUCCCAGAAUCUCACCCACUCAGAGUCCUGCUUAUAAGCAAGACAUUCAGGGAAAUGCCACUGAGUGAAAGAGCCUCAGAGGAGCGAGCAGCGUGCCCCAGUGAGUCUCUGUGGGCUAACAAGGUAGAUUGGCGCCCCGCCAAAUCUUCUUUUCAAAAACUGGUAGGAAAGUCAAUAAGAUAAGAUAAAAAUAAAUCAAAAUUCAACCAACAUAGCCUGUAGAAGUACUUCCCAGUACAGUCUUCAUUUGGCCCUCCCCAAAACUCUUGGAAACAAACACUACAUUUCCUCUUUUACAAAUGAGGUGACAGAGGAGUCACAGUGACAGCUGGGUUUUGAGCCUCACAGAUUAUCUCUAAAAUCUCUCCUUUUCUUUCUCCAUGCUCAAAUGCUUCCACUACACAUGCUGAGCUCCAGCUGUACGCUGAGCACUGGGCUGUGUGCUCAGAGAGAGCAGAGACAGGACAGCAUCCCUGAGAGCAGAGUCUACGAUGAAGACUGACCGUCACACCAGACCCUCUGCAGUGGCUACCACACAGGGCAGAUAGGAUGUGGGAGUGACACCAAAGCUGGGACCUGAGAUGGCCAGAAAAUGAUCGAAGGACAAGGUGUCAUGAAGAAUUUGAUCCUGGGAACUGACUUGAGCAAUCUCCAAUCAGACAGCGACGAUCACAAGUUCCCCUGCUACUCAGGGGUCAUGAACUUCAUGGACUUCACAUUUUCACACUGUUAGGCAAAUAUUGUUAGAAGAAUGAUCUUUUCUUAAAAAAAAAAAAAAAAAGAAUGGGGGACCAAUAGAAGUGGAAACAAACCAGGGUUUCCCCAGAGAAUAGAACCCCGGGAAGUCGAUCCUCCAUUGGACUGCUGUGUCUGGAUUCAAUCUUUUAUUAGAUUUUAGUUAAUACUUUGUUUUUAAAAACUGAGGAAAAAUGAACAAAACCAGAAACUUAAAAAAAAGAAUGGGUAUGUAAUACACAUAUAAUAUAUAUGCACAUAUAUGUGAACACGUGUGUAUGUGCAUUCUAUAUACAUAUACCUGUGUCUAGAGAGAAGAGUUAUAAACAAAUUAUAUUCAGAAGUACAAAAAAAGCCAUUACGUUCUUGGAAUACUCUUUUUUCAUGUUGAACAUUGCUUACUCAUUUUUUCUGUGAUUCAUAUAUUUAAUUAUUUGUUUAAAAAAAUGCUUAAGGUAGGGGCUGGGAUUGUGGCUCAGCGGUAGAGUGCUCGCCCAGCAUGCGCAGGGCCCUGUGUUCGAUCCUCAGCACCACAUAAAAAUAAAUGAAUGGAAUAAAGGUAUUGUGUCCAACUACAACU